rnacentral:rRNA from 2 species
GUCUGACGGAGCACGCCGCGUGAGUGAUGAAGGUUUUCGGAUCGUAAAGCUCUGUUGUUAGGGAAGAACAAGUACCGUUCGAAUAGGGCGGUACCUUGACGGUACCUAACCAGAAAGCCACGGCUAACUACGUGCCAGCAGCCGCGGUAAUACGUAGGUGGCAAGCGUUGUCCGGAAUUAUUGGGCGUAAAGGGCUCGCAGGCGGUUUCUUAAGUCUGAUGUGAAAGCCCCCGGCUCAACCGGGGAGGGUCAUUGGAAACUGGGGAACUUGAGUGCAGAAGAGGAGAGUGGAAUUCCACGUGUAGCGGUGAAAUGCGUAGAGAUGUGGAGGAACACCAGUGGCGAAGGCGACUCUCUGGUCUGUAACUGACGCUGAGGAGCGAAAGCGUGGGGAGCGAACAGGAUUAGAUACCCUGGUAGUCCACGCCGUAAACGAUGAGUGCUAAGUGUUAGGGGGUUUCCGCCCCUUAGUGCUGCAGCUAACGCAUUAAGCACUCCGCCUGGGGAGUACGGUCGCAAGACUGAAACUCAAAGGAAUUGACGGGGGCCCGCACAAGCGGUGGAGCAUGUGGUUUAAUUCGAAGCAACGCGAAGAACCUUACCAGGUCUUGACAUCCUCUGACAAUCCUAGAGAUAGGACGUCCCCUUCGGGGGCAGAGUGACAGGUGGUGCAUGGUUGUCGUCAGCUCGUGUCGUGAGAUGUUGGGUUAAGUCCCGCAACGAGCGCAACCCUUGAUCUUAGUUGCCAGCAUUCAGUUGGGCACUCUAAGGUGACUGCCGGUGACAAACCGGAGGAAGGUGGGGAUGACGUCAAAUCAUCAUGCCCCUUUAUGACCUGG